CCCGCCUUAACUCAGUGGUAGAGUGCGCGGCUGUAGUUCGGCUCGUGCGGGUAAAAUUACUACCCGUACAUUUCCGCGCAGGCACCGCGAUGUCCCCGGUUCGAGUCUGGGAGGCGGGA
rnacentral:tRNA from 1 species